GGAAGUAGGUGGGAAGGAGCAGAGGAGGAGGCAGUGAGCAGCAGAGGGAGGAGGAGCUGAGAGCGUACAAACAUUUACAUUUUUGCGCAGCUCGCACACAUUACUUCAGUCACUCAGCUCAGACAAGAAGCUGUCAUCGACCUCCACUCACAGACUAUCUGGAUAGUGUUUUCUCAGCCUGGAUGCAGAGAGCUGCUCUUCCUCGGGCGGGUUGAAGCCUCUGUGAUCUGUGUGCUGGUGGACAGACUGCGCAGCGUGGUGGCACAGUUAGAGGAGUAAUACAACUCUUCAUACCUCUUCAUCCUCAGUACUCAGGGUCUCUGGUCAUACUCAGGAGAAGAAGUGCGAUUAUGAAAUCAUUAUACAGAUUCCUGGCUCGCCUAAAGUUGCAUAUAAUCCUCAAGAAAGUUACAACACACUAAAAGCCAUAAGUUUGUAUUUCAGUUAGUGUUGGAAAAGCAUCUAAAACCUUCUUAUGUAUCUGCGUGGGGUGUGUGGGGUUGUUUGACUUAAAGUGUGUUUUUUAAUGAAUGCAUGUUAAGUAGCUGAAGCAUCUGCUCAGGGACUCCUGACUGACUGCUGGUUGACAUUUUCGAUUACUUGGAGGAAACACUGUAUUGUACAGCGUUUAGUAACCACAGAGCUGCAGGUCUUCUGUGUACUGUCUGUCACACAUGUACAGUCUUGUAACAAACACCAGCUCUUGAGGUUGUAGCUACAUCUCUUCACCCAGAAAGGGCCUCCACCAAGCGGUAAAAGUCAAUGUUACAACAAAAAAACAUUUUCAAACUAGUUCUAAUUUAGAUUCUAACGCAACACGAGUUCUGAUGUUUAAAUGUUGCAAUAUACCAAAUAAAAACGGAAUCA